UUAAAUUAAAAUUUAAUAACUUAUUAUUAUUAUACCGCACUUGUAAUAGUCAUCAUUCAAGCAUUGUUUGUUCCGUACUAAACACACUUGAUCCGCAUAAUAAUUUUCUCUCCCACUAACCACAUCUAAACCGUACCGCUUUAUAUUCUUCACCGCUUUAUGUUCUUCACCGUUCAAUCCGCUGUAGGCACCGAAUGGUGACAGCGGAUCGAGCGGUGCAGGACAAGCGGAUUGAGUAGUGCGAUGCGGUUUAAGUGCGGUAAAUUGGAGAAAAAUACAUAAUGCAUAACAAGUGCGGUUAUUAAAAAAUAAGUGUUGCGGGAGAAUGUUUGAAUGGUAAUAAAAUACGGACAAAAUAGUUAUCAAAUUAUAAAUAAUUUAAUAAU
rnacentral:sRNA from 1 species